CAUCCGGUCGCACAUGGUGUGCAUCUGCCCAUUCUCAAAGCCUUGAAGGUGUGCCAGUGAAGGUUGCAGAAGGCCCCCGUUCGACUCGGGGUCGGAUGA